AUUGAACGCUGGCGGCAUGCCUUACACAUGCAAGUCGAACGGUAACGCGGGCAACCUGGCGACGAGUGGCGAACGGGUGAGUAAUGCAUCGGAACGUGCCCAGUAGUGGGGGAUAGCCCGGCGAAAGCCGGAUUAAUACCGCAUACGACCUACGGGUGAAAGCGGGGGACCGUAAGGCCUCGCGCUAUUGGAGCGGCCGAUGUCAGAUUAGGUAGUUGGUGGGGUAAAGGCCUACCAAGCCUUCGAUCUGUAGCUGGUCUGAGAGGACGACCAGCCACACUGGGACUGAGACACGGCCCAGACUCCUACGGGAGGCAGCAGUGGGGAAUUUUGGACAAUGGGCGCAAGCCUGAUCCAGCCAUGCCGCGUGAGUGAAGAAGGCCUUCGGGUUGUAAAGCUCUUUCGGCCGGGAAGAAAUCGCACGGGUUAAUACCCUGUGUGGAUGACGGUACCGGAAUAAGAAGCACCGGCUAACUACGUG
rnacentral:rRNA from 1 species